GCCAGCACGGCAUAGUGGUUUGAGUGUUGGACUACAGCUCCGGAGACCAAGGUUCAAUUCCCAGCUUUGCCA